GCCGGAGUGGCGGAAUGGGCAGACGCGACGGUCUCAAAACCGUUGAGGGCAACCUCGUGUGGGUUCGACUCCCACUUCCGGCACCA
rnacentral:tRNA from 1 species